rnacentral:rRNA from 1 species
GUGGGGUGCGUUUGUUGAAACCAACCCCUUUGGGGCGAUGUGACGAUUCGUGAUAUUGAACAAUAUCGCUGGUCUCACGGCCGAAAAAGAUGCUACAUAUCCUUGCCAUGUCUGCCUUAUCUGGUUUGGAUGGGGGAUUAUGCGCCUACCAUGGGUGACACGGGAAACGGAUAAGCUUGGUGAGAUUCCGGAUAGGGAAUCGGAACAACGGCUACCGCAUGCAACGAGGGCAGCAAGUACCCAAAUUACCCACUCCCGGGACGGGGAGGUAGUGACGAAAAAUAGCACGUUGGUCUCAAUGAGUUCCAACUUUGAACUGUGAACAAUUUAAAUCUUUUAUCAAGGAUCUGUUGAAGGGGGAGUCUGGUGCCACCAGCCUCCCUAAUUCCAGCUCCAAUAUUAAAUAUUAAACUUGUUGCAAUUAAAAAGCUCGAAUUUGGAUUUAGGAUUAUGGCUACUGUCGUUCAGCUUGUGCUUGCUGGAUGCCCCAUUCCUUUUCGCAGGCAGUGUAGCGUUGCUCUGAAAUGAGUGACUUGCGUUGCUUUAACUUUUACCAAGAAAAAAUGGAAAUGCUCA